GUGGGUAAAAGGAGAAGCACCCAAAUAAAAAAACUCAAUGAAACGACGAGGUUCUGAUGGAUUUCUACGGCCGUAUAAGGGGAUUUUAAAUAAGGGAUCAUGUUGGCUGUCUUGGGCCUAUAAAAAACUUGAUGGCGAUUCUGAAAGAUGGCGGAUGGAAGCAGAAUGAAAUGGUUUUGUUCCAGAUGGGCCAGUGGACUAGGGAUUAAGAUGGUUCCGGGAAUUUAAGGUAAGUGAAAUGAAUUAUAUUUGAAAUAUACAAAGUGGACUUUAGUGAAAAUUAAAACGUGGUUCGGUGCAUAAAAAAAUCUUAAUCAAAUAAAAUAAAAAAUUUAAUACAUUUAAAAUAAUAUCGGUUCCCGUUUUGGAAAAGUGAAUUCGGAAAAAAUUAAUUUUGGAAUUUACGGUGCAGGUAAAAAGUAAAAAAAAAUUUAAUGGAAAAAAUUUAAUUUGAUCGAAAUUUACCGUUAGUGUCAAAGGUGUACGGACAAAAAAAUUAAAAAUUUUAAAAUUUAUUUUCAAGUGAAAUUGGAACAUACCGUUAGUAAAAAAGUAACCAAAUAAAAACUAACUUUUGAAAAAAAACUCUUUUUCGUGAAACUUGUCAAGGUGUGUUCUUUAAGUGAAAUAUGAACAAAAGCUUAUACAGUGAGAACCAAAAGUGAAGUGGAAUUUUUUUUUGUUUUAAAUACAGUGGGUGUAGAACAAAUGAAAAUUUUUAGUGACAAACGGAAACUAAAGUUUGAAAAUUUACAGUGGCCAUCAGAAUUUGUGAAUCAGUUAAAUUUAAGACAAAAUUAUUUGUGUAAACAAAACCUCCAAAACCUCUUGAAACCCAAAACAAAAGAAAAAUUAAUGAAGAAAACUUAAAAAAAUUAAACCGUUCCUAAAUGGAUAAAAUAAAAGAAAAAUGAAAAUAAAAUGAUUUCUCCAAUUCAAAUAUUUUUUGCUUUAAUUCCAAAUUAAUAAUUUUAUAAAUUUUCUUUUACUUUCAGCUAAUAAAAUUCUAUCGGACCUGCGAUUUGGCCUUGGUUUGCUGCUUCCGUUCAGGAAAGGUAAGCAAUAAACCUAAAACUAAGUUAUAUAAAAUGAAACAUAAUUUCACUUGUAUUAAUUUUUUUCUCUAUAUUCACGACUUAAUCGUAGGAAUUUGGUAGAAAUGUAAGGACUAAGUUCACCAAAGCUCAUAGACAAGCGUCUAGAGACUUUAGCGAGAAAUACCCCUUACAAUUU